GUCAAACUUUUACAGGAAGUGAAUAGUAUAAGCAAACAACAACUUAUAACUUUGUGGUGAAAUACUCAGAUACUCUGCCAUUUUGGUCUUUAUUACUCACAUUGAACUAAAACAAGGAUUAGAGACCCUUCUAUUCAAUAAAAUCAACUUUGCGGGGGACUAACAUCUUAAUGAUUCAAACCUAAAUAACAUGGCGGUAAUCUAAAUUUAGGGGAACUUACCUGAUAAUUGACAACCACCAUGGUUAAACAAUUUUAUAAAACUCUUGUAUGCCGUCGUCGUCAGGCAACACUUAAAGUAUUGCCAAAAUACAAAGAAAAAGACAGAUCAAGGUGCAGACAACUAUAAAGUCUAGGCGAGUUACAAUUAAUAUACUAACGGUUAGUUAACAGUAUACUAACUAUAAGGAGGACUUAACAGUAAUAAAUAUUAAAUUUAAUACAUGAACGAACUCGGAUUGUGCACAA
rnacentral:rRNA from 1 species